UACCCUACCAAUGGGUAAAAAGAGAUUUUGUUGUUGGUGGUGGUGUUUUUAUAUUAGUCAGGGGCAGAGAGAGAUGGCAGUCCUUUGUUCAUCCAAGCUUGAUGCCUGGCUCAGUGGCCAAAGCUGUUUUAUGCCUAGGAUACAUAA